rnacentral:rRNA from 1 species
UACGAAGGGGGCUAACGUUGCUCGGAAUCACUGGGCGUAAAGGGUGCGUAGGCGGGUCUUUAAGUCAGGGGUGAAAUCCUGGAGCUCAACUCCAGAACUGCCUUCGAUACUGGAAGUCUUGAGUCCGGGAGAGGUGAGUGGAACUGCGAGUGUAGAGGUGAAAUUCGUAGAUAUUCGCAAGAACACCAGUGGCGAAGGCGGCCUCACUGGCCCGGUACUGACGCUGAGGUGCGAAAGCGUGGGGAGCAAACAGG